rnacentral:misc_RNA from 1 species
UGGACCUUCAUUUAUUGCAACACUAGCCAUAAAACAAAAAUUCCACUCAAUUCUAUGUCGUAAUAUAAAACAUAUCUUCUAAUAGUUAAAUUUUGAGAAGAAAAACUCAAGCAAUACAAUUAUCCAGCAACUCUCAGAAAAAUAUAAAACUUUAUCUAGGAGCAAGCAGCAGUUCAGCACUAGCUGAAAAGAAGAGAAAGACAGAACCAUCUCCUAAAGAAAAAAUUUUAAACUGUAAACUUAGCAGUAAACAUUAUCCAACAGUUAAUCUGUACUAAUAUAUUUUCAGCAGUUCCAAAGAUGAAUAAUGCAAUUUCCAAGAAUCAAAGUUUCAUCAUCCCCUUGAGAUUUAGAUUCUAUUCAAGGAAUAAUAAGAUUAAAUUUGUAUUACUCCCUAAUGAAACAAAAAGAAAAAGCAAAGCACUGAUAAAGUUAAUAUUAAAAAAAAAAAGGAAAAAGAA